UACGGGGGGGGGCAAGCGUUGUUCGGAAUUACUGGGCGUAAAGGGCUCGUAGGUGGCCAACUAAGUCAGACGUGAAAUCCCUCAGCUUAACUGGGGAACUGCGUCUGAUACUGGAUGGCUUGAGUUUGGGAGAGGGAUGCGGAAUUCCAGGUGUAGCGGUGAAAUGCGUAGAUAUCUGGAGGAACACCGGUGGCGAAGGCGGCAUCCUGGACCGGCAUUGACGCUGAGGAGCGAAAGCGUGGGGAGCGAACAGG
rnacentral:rRNA from 1 species